GCCUGGCUGGCUCAGUUGGUGGAGCGUGUGACUCUUGAUCUCAGAGAUGUGAGUUUGAGCCCCAUGUUAGGUU
rnacentral:tRNA from 1 species